rnacentral:rRNA from 1 species
UACAGAGGGUGCAAGCGUUAAUCGGAAUUACUGGGCGUAAAGCGUGCGUAGACGGUUAUAUAAGUCGGGUGUGAAAGCCCCGGGCUCAACCUGGGAAUUGCAUUCGAGACUGCGUAGCUAGGGUGCGGAAGAGGGAAGCGGAAUUUCCGGUGUAGCGGUGAAAUGCGUAGAUAUCGGAAGGAACACCAGUGGCGAAGGCGGGUCUCUGGACAGUUCCUGACACUGAGACACGAAGGCCAGGGGAGCAAACGGG